rnacentral:snoRNA from 2 species
AACCCAUGACGUGGACACUUUUAAUGGAGCUCUUUUAAGUGUUCCCAAGUUUCACACAAAUAUUACCUAUCAUCUUGAGUGAACGAGUUAAUUUCAUACAUAAGUUU